GACGGAGGAUGCAAGCGUUAUCCGGAAUGAUUGGGCGUAAAGCGUCCGCAGGUGGCAGUUCAAGUCUGCUGUCAAAGACCGGGGCUUAACUUCGGAAAGGCAGUGGAAACUGAACAGCUAGAGUAUGGUAGGGGCAGAGGGAAUUCCUGGUGUAGCGGUGAAAUGCGUAGAGAUCAGGAAGAACAUCGGUGGCGAAGGCGGGUCUCUGGGCAGUAACUGACGCUGAGGAGCGAAAGCGUGGGUAGCAAACAGG
rnacentral:rRNA from 1 species